GAUGAACGCUGGCGGCGUGCCUAAUACAUGCAAGUCGAGCGAAUGGAUUGAGAGCUUGCUCUUAUGAAGUUAGCGGCGGACGGGUGAGUAACACGUGGGUAACCUGCCCAUAAGACUGGGAUAACUCCGGGAAACCGGGGCUAAUACCGGAUAACAUUUUGAACCGCAUGGUUCGACAUUGAAAGGCGGCUUCGGCUGUCACUUAUGGAUGGACCCGCGUCGCAUUAGCUAGUUGGUGAGGUAACGGCUCACCAAGGCAACGAUGCGUAGCCGACCUGAGAGGGGGGUCGGCCACACUGGGACUGAGACACGGCCCAGACUCCUACGGGAGGCAGCAGUAGGGAAUCUUCCGCAAUGGACGAAAGUCUGACGGAGCAACGCCGCGUGAGUGAUGAAGGCUUUCGGGUCGUAAAACUCUGUUGUUAGGGAAGAACAAGUGCUAGUUGAAUAAGCUGGCACCUUGACGGUACCUAACCAGAAAGCCACGGCUAACUACGUGCCAGCCGCCGCGGUAA
rnacentral:rRNA from 1 species